UAGAUACUCCCUCCGUUCGGAAUUACUUGUCUCGAAAAUAGAUGUAUCUAGAACUAAAAUACGUCUAGGUACAUCCAUUUCCGCGACAAGUAAUUCCGAACGGAGGGAGUAGAAC
rfam:Triticum urartu cultivar G1812 contig755663, whole genome shotgun sequence.